UGCUCCCUUCAGCAGCACAUAACUAAAAUUGGAGCCACACGGAGAAGGUUAGCACGGCCCCUGCACAAGGAUGACACACAGAUUCUGGAUGUGUUCCAUAUUUUU
ensembl:snRNA U6 U6 spliceosomal RNA